rnacentral:rRNA from 1 species
CAUGCAAGGUCGAACGGCAGCACGGGAGCUUGCUCCUGGUGGCGAGUGGCGAANGGGUGAGUAAUACAUCGGAACGUACCCUGAAGUGGGGGAUAACGUAGCGAAAGUUACGCUAAUACCGCAUAUUCUGUGCGCAGGAAAGAGGGGGAUCGCAAGACCUCUUGCUUUAGGAGCGGCCGAUGUCGGAUUAGCUGGUUGGUGAGGUAAAGGCUCACCAAGGCGACGAUCCGUAGCGGGUCUGAGAGGAUGAUCCGCCACACUGGGACUGAGACACGGCCCAGACUCCUACGGGAGGCAGCAGUGGGGAAUUUUGGACAAUGGGCGCAAGCCUGAUCCAGCCAUGCCGCGUGAGUGAAGAAGGCCUUCGGGUUGUAAAGCUCUUUCGGUGGGGAAGAAAUUGCUUCGGCUAAUACCUGGAGUAGAUGACGGUACCCGCACAAGAAGCACCGGCUAACUACGUGCCAGCAGCCGCGGUAAUACGUAGGGUGCGAGCGUUAAUCGGAAUUACUGGGCGUAAAGCGUGCGCAGGCGGUUGUAUAAGUCAGAUGUGAAAUCCCCGGGCUCAACCUGGGAACUGCAUUUGAGACUGUACGGCUAGAGUGUGGCAGAGGGGGGUGGAAUUCCACGUGUAGCAGUGAA